rnacentral:rRNA from 1 species
AGGAGUCUAACACAUAUGCGAGUGUGCUGGCGGAAAAACCAACACGCGUAAUGAAAGUAACAGGUGCCAAGCGCAAGCAGCAGCAUCGGCCGACCAUGAUCAUUAGAGAAAGGUUUGAGUAUGAGCAUAUUUGUUAGGACCCGAAAGAUGGUGAACUAUGCUUGAGUAGGGUGAAGUCAGGGGAAACUCUGAUGGAGGCUCGUAGCGAUACUGACGUGCAAAUCGUUCGUCAAACUUGAGUAUAGGGGCGAAAGACUAAUCGAACCAUCUAGUAGCUGGUUCCUCCCGAAGUUUCUCUCAGGAUAUCAAGAUCAAUAUUGCAGUUUUAUCAGGUAAAGCGAAUGAUUAGAGGAUUCUGGGGAGUAAUUCCCUAGACCUAUUCUCAAACUUUAAAUUGGUAAGAACUCGUUAUUUCUUAAUUGAAUA